UUUGGUGUCCGGACUGAGACGUUCAGAUAAGAGCGAUCAUCCAAUCAUCAUACAGAAGGCAUCAGCUAACUGCGCAACACGGCGCGACCAGGAGCCAUGUACUCGCCGUUUGACGGACCCCGGAGGACCAUGUUCUUCAUUCUGCUUAUGUCUCUCAGGCCUGCAUAGCAGCUCUUCUCCUGUUAACCAGCGAAUCGUUUGGUCUAAAAGGCCUAAGGUUAUUCCCGGCCAAUUCACUAAGGUCCCAUCAUCAGCACCAUCACAGCAGCAGCGCCCACCCGGCCUUUCCCGACCAGGACCAAAUCGUGCGAGAGAGGGCCGAUAC